rnacentral:rRNA from 1 species
CCCGCACAAGCGGUGGAUUAUGUGGAUUAAUUCGAUGCAACGCGAAAACCUUACCUACCCUUGACAUGCUAGGAACUUGCCAGAGAUGGCUUGGUGCCCGAAAGGGAACCUAGACACAGGUGCUGCAUGGCUGUCGUCAGCUCGUGUCGUGAGAUGUUGGGUUAAGUCCCGCAACGAGCGCAACCCUUAUCAUUAGUUGCUACGCAAGGGCACUCUAAUGAGACUGCCGGUGACAAACCGGAGGAAGGUGGGGAUGACGUCAAGUCCUCAUGGCCCUUAUGGGUAGGGCUUCACACGUCAUACAAUGGUCGGUACAGAGGGUUGCCAAGCCGCGAGGCGGAGCCAAUCCCACAAAGCCGAUCGUAGUCCGGAUUGUUCUCUGCAACUCGAGAGCAUGAAGUCGGAAUCGCUAGUAAUCGCAGGUCAGCAUACUGCGGUCGAAUACGUUCCCGGGUCUU